GACGAACGCUGGCGGUGUGCUUCACACAUGCAAGUCGAACGAGGUAGCAAUACCUAGUGGCGGACGGGUGAGUAACGCGUGGGAAUCUGCCUUUUAGGAUGGGGGGAUAACGAGCCGAAAGGUUCGCUAAUACCGCAUAUGCCGCAAGGUGAAAGGAGUAAUCCGUCUGAAGAUGAGCCCGCGUCCGAUUAGCUAGUUGGUGGGGUAAAGGCCUACCAAGGCGACGAUCGGUAGCUGGUCUGAGAGGAUGAUCAGCCACAAUGGGAACUGAGACACGGCCCAUACUCCUACGGGAGGCAGCAGUGGGGAAUUUUACGCAAUGGGGGAAACCCUGACGUAGCGACACCGCGUGAGCGAAGAAGCCCCUUGGGGUGUAAAAGCUCUGUCAAGCUGGGACGAAACAAAUGACGGUACCAGCAGAGGAAGCAUCGGCUAAACUACGUGCCAGCAGCCGCGGU
rnacentral:rRNA from 1 species